AAAUAAUCAAGAGAAGUAGUACAUGGUGGAGAGAUGGGUUCAGCCUUGGCAACAGAGGGAUCAAAUGAAUAUAAUUCAAGGUUCUAAACAUUUUUUCUGCUUAUAGGAAGAAAGACAAGCUUGGUGAACCAAUAGCAGCUCCACGACGGCUUGUUUCUUCUUUGUGGAAAGCAUCUUGAACAGGGAAUGGAAGAUCCAUAGCUUGAUAGAAAUCUAAAGACACAAAAAGAAGAAGUGGCAGCGACGAUCCGAAUUGUUCUACACCCAAAAGGAUGUUGAUGUUGUGAGGUCAGAGUGGGCUAAGUUUGUGAUGAAGUAUCAUAUUGCAUAGCUGUGAUGGUUGUUCAAGGAAGGGCUCUUAUUUUGGUAUUUUGAUCACCUGCCUCCUGCUAGCUGGUUUUAGUUUUUGCUUUAGUUAUAGGCAUGGUUAAUGCGCAGUUGAAGGCAUUUUUGUUUUGGUAUUUUGAUGAGCCUCCUGCUAGCUAGUUUUAGUUUUUGCUUUAGUUAUAGGCAUGGUUAAUGCAAUGUGGACGCGUUUAUGU